rnacentral:rRNA from 1 species
UCAUGGCUCAGAUUGAACGCUAGCGGGAUGCCUUACACAUGCAAGUCGAACGGCAGCAACAGAGAGCUUGCUCUCUGGUUGGCGAGUGGCGAACGGGUGAGUAAUGUAUCGGAACGUGCCCAGUAAUGGGGGAUAACUACGCGAAAGCGUGGCUAAUACCGCAUACGCCCUACGGGGGAAAGGGGGGGAUCUUAGGACCUCUCGUUAUUGGAGCGGCCGAUAUCGGAUUAGCUAGUUGGUGGGGUAAUGGCCUACCAAGGCCGCGAUCCGUAGCUGGUUUGAGAGGACGACCAGCCACACUGGGACUGAGACACGGCCCAGACUCCUACGGGAGGCAGCAGUGGGGAAUUUUGGACAAUGGGGGGAACCCUGAUCCAGCCAUCCCGCGUGUGCGAUGAAGGCCUUCGGGUUGUAAAGCACUUUUGUCAGGGAAGAAAAGUUACUUACUAAUACUAGGUGACGCUGACGGUACCUGAAGAAUAAGCACCGGCUAACUACGUGCCAGCAGCCGCGGUAAUACGUAGGGUGCAAGCGUUAAUCGGAAUUACUGGGCGUAAAGCGUGCGCAGGCGGUUUGGAAAGAAGGAUGUGAAAUCCCAGGGCUCAACCUUGGAACUGCAUUCUUAACUGUCAAACUAGAGUAUGUCAGAGGGGGGUAGAAUUCCACGUGUAGCAGUGAAAUGCGUAGAGAUGUGGAGGAAUACCGAUGGCGAAGGCAGCCCCC